rnacentral:lncRNA from 1 species
GUCUUGUGGUGGAAACAGAUAUGUUACAGGUCUGAUGGUGCUUGUUGGGGCGAAUUUGGGACUGACGUUGGUGGCGUCUGUGCUUUGUGUGUGCUUUGCUCCUACGGCGGCUGGACCUGGAAUCCCUGAGAUCAAAGCUUAUCUUAAUGGUGUAGAUACUCCCAACAUGUUUGGUGCUACUACUAUGAUCGUUAAGGUUUGUUUCUGAAUUUGGAGAUUUGUAAUGAUUAGUAUGUAUGAAUUUGAAUUUUGACUCACGGUUUAGCGGGGUUUGAUAGAUUGUUGGAAGCAUUGGAGCGGUUGCAGCUGGACUUGAUCUAGGUAAAGAGGGUC